rnacentral:rRNA from 1 species
GUUGAACGCUGGCGGCAUGCUUUACACAUGCAAGUCGAACGGUAACAGGUUAAGCUGACGAGUGGCGAACGGGUGAGUAAUGCAUCGGAACGUGCCCGAUCGUGGGGGAUAACGCAGCGAAAGCUGCGCUAAUACCGCAUACGAUCUGAGGAUGAAAGCGGGGGACCGUAAGGCCUCGCGCGAUCGGAGCGGCCGAUGUCAGAUUAGGUAGUUGGUGGGGUAAAGGCCCACCAAGCCGACGAUCUGUAGCUGGUCUGAGAGGACGACCAGCCACACUGGGACUGAGACACGGCCCAGACUCCUACGGGAGGCAGCAGUGGGGAAUUUUGGACAAUGGGCGAAAGCCUGAUCCAGCAAUGCCGCGUGCAGGAAGAAGGCCUUCGGGUUGUAAACUGCUUUUGUACGGAGCGAAAAGAUCCUUCCUAAUACAAGGGGCUCAUGACGGUACCGUAAGAAUAAGCACCGGCUAACUACGUGCCAGCCGCCGCAGUAA